CUUGUGGUGGUUGUCUGGGGCUCAAAAGCAGACGUGAGCCUCCCCAGAUCGUUCCCCAAUAAUACCUCCGCUGGUAACUGCGGCAUCAACCCCACCUCCACAUGCCCUGCCCCCGCUCCCCAAUGCAAAUGUACCCUUGCUGUAGGUAGCCGGUACACUGCUCCCCCGGCUACCCUGACGGCCACAGUUUUACUCAGUUUAGCUUGAUCCGACACCAGGUGACUCUUUACCAGGGUGAUAGUAGCCCCUGAGUCGCGUAGUCCUUGGACCGCUUUACCCUCCAGGUAUACAGUCUGCCUAUGAUGCUGUCGGUUAUCCGCAUUGGCC